CCAAAGCCCUGCCUCCUACUAUCAUCACACUAGAGAUUAGGCUUCAACCUAAGAAUUUCAAGAGGUUGCAAACAUUCAGAUGAUAGUAGUGGCUGGAUGGGGUAGUGCUGAUGAGCUACAUGAAGCCCGGGGAUGUAAAGAUUGCACAUGAAAUCAGCGCUGAACCAGGGUAUCUCCUUUCCCUUCUCCUUUAGAACCUCUUUCAUUUCCUUUCCGUGGAUGGUACUUCUCUUCUCCCUGACUCUGUGUCCCCAGAGCACCAUUGAACUCCUCCCUCAUUUCAACCUUGUCUUUCCUCUUCACCUCCAGUUCCUCUGUUGUUUGUUUUUCAAUCCAGGGCAUUCUUGUCGUCAGGAAAGAGCCCCAGAAAGACAGCUACACAUUCAUGGGUUUGGGUUCUAGGGACUCUUCCUGCCAAUGAUGGGACUUUCAAUAGUUUCCUUCUCUGAAUUUUCCAAUGUGUAAUAUGGGGAUCAGAAUACCUACCUUCUUAUGAUGGUUGCAUGGGUAAACAGAACUCAUGCAUGCUGGAUAAUUGGGGGUUUGCUUCACCCCCCUUUUCUUCAGCCCUGGACUCUUCAAGUGACCUCCUACUUUACACAUUAAAAAUGAAUUAACCCCAUGGGCUGGGGUUGGGGCUCAGUGGUAGAGUGCUUGCCUUGCAUGUGUGAGGCACUGCGUUCAAUUCUCAAUACCACAUUUAGAUAAAUAAAAUAAAGGCCCAUCAACAACUAAAAAAUAUAUUUUAAAAAAUGAAUUAACCCUUACAAUUGCAUAAAAUUGAAUACACCAGGCACACACAUAAGAAAAGUCAGUGCACAUAGAACUGAUGAAACCUAACACAUCAGUGGAUUGUAUCCUGGGUUUGGUAUUAUACUAUAGUUGUAUAAAAUGUGUCAUUGGGGGAAAUAAUAUUCCUUUUUCUUACAACUACAUUUGAAUUUUCAAUCAUCUCAAAAAUAAAGUUUAAUUAAAAUAAUGGAUUAAUCUUGCC
rnacentral:lncRNA from 1 species